GGGGAAUAUUGGACAAUGGGCGAAAGCCUGAUCCAGCCAUGCCGCGUGAGUGAUGAAGGCCUUAGGGUUGUAAAGCUCUUUCAGUGGGGAAGAUAAUGACGGUACCCACAGAAGAAGCCCCGGCUAACUUCGUGCCAGCAGCCGCGGUAAUACGAAGGGGGCUAGCGUUGUUCGGAUUUACUGGGCGUAAAGCGCACGUAGGCGGAUUGGUCAGUUAGGGGUAAAAUCCCAGAGCUCAACUCUGGAACUGCCCUUAAUACUGCCAGUCCAGAGUCCGGAAGAGGUAAGUGGAACUCCUAGUGUAGAGGUGGAAUUCGUAGAUAUUAGGAAGAACACCAGUGGCGAAGGCGGCUUACUGGUCCGGUACUGACGCUGAGGUGCGAAAGCGUGGGGAGCAAAC
rnacentral:rRNA from 1 species